CUUCAAGAGAAGAGUUGCUGGAAAAAACACAUCAAGUGUAGAAGACGUGUUCAAAAAUAGAAAAUACUGCCCUUGAUCUACGAACUCUCUUCAAAGGAAGUUUUAACAUUUUAAGUCUUCAGAGUCUUUAAAUGUGAACUGGAAAAUGUGGAAACUGGAAAAUAAUUACUUUGUGUGCUUUUUGUAUGAGAUUAAGGUCUCUACUAUAGCAGAGUUCUUUACAAGGAAUAUGUAGGACAAGUCUAAAGACUGAAGCAAGAGAAAAGACAAGGGAAAUGUCAAAGACCUAUGCCUUGGUAUCCUUAUGGCCCUAAUUAACACAAGCAACUGCCUGUUUUUUGGAAUUGUCAUUCCAUUAGAAAAAUAAAAUUUACUGUUUACUGAAG
rnacentral:lncRNA from 1 species